CCAUGAGUAAAGUGGCGACCGGGUGAGUAACACGUGACUAACCUACCUCCGAGUGGGGAAUAACUCCGGGAAACCGGGGCUAAUACCGCAUAACAUCGCGAGAUCAAAGCAGCAAUGCGCUUGGAGAGGGGGUCGCGGCUGAUUAGCUAGUUGGCGGGGUAACGGCCCACCAAGGCGAAGAUCGGUAUCCGGCCUGAGAGGGCGCACGGACACACUGGAACUGAAACACGGUCCAGACUCCUACGGGAGGCAGCAGUGGGGAAUUUUGCGCAAUGGGGGAAACCCUGACGCAGCAACGCCGCGUGGAGGAUGAAGCCCCUUGGGGCGUAAACUCCUUUCGACCAAGACGAUAACGACGGUACUGGUGGAAGAAGCACCGGCUAACUCUGUGCCAGCAGCCGCGGUAAUACAGAGGGUGCGAGCGUUGUUCGGAAUUAUUGGGCGUAAAGGGCGCGUAGGCGGUGCCACAAGUCACUUGUGAAAUCCCCGGGCUUAACUCGGGGCCUGCAGGCGAAACUGUGGUGCUGGAGUGUGGGAGAGGUGCGUGGAAUUCCCGGUGUAGCGGUGCAAUGCGUAGAUAUCGGGAGGAACACCUGUGGCGAAAGCGGCGCACUGGACCAUAACUGACGCUGAGGCGCGAAAGCUAGGGGAGCAAACAGGAUUAGAUACCCUGGUAGUCCUAGCCCUAAACGAUGAUUGCUUGGUGUAGCAGGUACCCAAUCCUGCUGUGCCGCAGCUAACGCGAUACCAAUCCGCCUGGGGAGUACGGUCGCAAGGCUGAAACUCAAAGGAAUUGACGGGGGCCCGCACAAGCGGUGGAGCAUGUGGUUCAAUUCGACGCAACGCGAAGAACCUUACCUGGGCUCGAAAUGCAGGAGAUCGGGGUGGAAACAUCCCUUCCCCUUAAAAGGCUGCUGCAUAGGUGCUGCAUGGCUGUCGUCAGCUCGUGUCGUGAGAUGUUGGGUUAAGUCCCGCAACGAGCGCAACCCUUAUCCCUAGUUGCCAUCGGGUCAAGCCGGGCACUCUAGUGAAACUGCCUGGGAUAACCAGGAGGAAGGUGGGGAUGACGUCAAGUCCUCGUGGCCUUUAUGUCCAGGGCUACACACGUGCUACAAUGGUCGGUACAAACCGUCGCAAACCCGUGAGGGGGAGCUAAUCGGAAAAAGCCGGCCUCAGUUCGGAUUGGAGUCUGCAACUCGACUCCAUGAAGCUGGAAUCGCUAGUAAUCGCGGAUCAGAACGCCGCGGUGAAUACGUUCCCGGGCCUUGUACACACCGCCCGUCACAUCACGAAAGUGGGCCGUACUAGAAGCAGGUGUGCUAACCGCAAGGAGGCAGCCUUCCAAGGUACAGCUCAUGAUUGGGGUGAAGUCGUAACGAGGUA
rnacentral:rRNA from 1 species